UAAGAAACCUGAUCACCAUUUCACACAGUUCUUGCUGACUACACUGAAGAGCUGGCACAAAGAGACAAGAGAAAGCACCAGUGAGAGAUCACUCACAGCAUGUCCUGGGACCAAGAGUCCCCACACUGUGAAGUCUCUGGCAGUUCAAGUUUUGGAACAUGAAGGAUUUUUCCAGAAUGCCAGCACAGCAUGGGAUUAAUGCAACACUGAAUCUGUCAAGACUCAGGUUCCACAGUUCCAUGGAAACCUUUUCCUUUCAGGAGCCUAAGGACGUCUUCCAGGUGAUCCCAAACUGUGGGCAUGGAGAAAGGUGUGGUUGUACAGGCUGUCUAGAGUAGCCACUGAAGAGGAGUUUCUACUCCAUUAUUGUGCUGGAAGAGUGGAGUUAAGCUUUGUACGUCCAGGCUGCUGGAAGAUGAAAGAUUACACUGCAGAGAUUUGUCUUGUGGGAAAAGACGAUGGUGUGUGUUCCAGUCCAGCGGAGCCACUACUGUGACUGGAACCGCAUUUGAGAGAUUCUUUUAAUGUGCUGUUUAUAAAAUGAAAAAGAUCCACGUGCUCAGCAGUGAAACUUUGUAAUCAUCUGAUCAUUUAAAUAGUCUCCGUGGCUGGAAAAGCAAGAAAAUGUUUCAAACUACGGAAGUCUGAUGCUACUCUUCAGCCGACCAGAAGAGGAGGCUCUGACACCGAGCAAUGGACUGCUUCCCGCCAGGAAGAUGAGAUCCUGCAACAAUCCUGCAACUACGAGGGGAAAACUGCUUUUUAAUUUCCCAGUGUACCGUCAGUGAAUGAGCUUAAAGCCGAUACAUGCAGAGGAGUCUCAAACAUGGGGGAAUAAAAGGAAGCUACGAAUCAGUUCAAUUUCCAUUCUGAAAUAUUAUUAUUCUUUUCUUCAUAAAUAUUCAAUUUCUAUGAAAGGCAAAUGCUACUCCUUACGUAUCAGAGAAGUGAGAAGCAAAUCGUCUUUAUGCACCUUCUGCGCUUCUGGGAGAAAAAUUUCAACACUAUACUAAUGAAUUUGACCUCCCAACAUGCCCAAGAAGCAGCUGUUGCUUUAAGCUUUUUAUAGAAAGAAGGAAAUGGAGGCACCAUGGCAUUAAAUGACUCUGCUCAAAGAUAUCCAACAAACAGCUUUUUGCUCAGCCAGCUCUUCUAUCCUAUGCUUUACUUACAAAGUCAAUCGUCCCUUUGUCUAUUUUCUCUCAGCCACAUAUUUCCCAAAUUUGACAGGAAAGAAAUCAUAAGCAUUAUGAUUUCCUCAGUGGGACUCUGAAAUAAGUGUUCAGUACUGUUUCAUAAACAGGACAACGCAUAGUCAUAUUACUAAAAUUAAAGAGGCUGUCUUAAUACCUUUAUGCAAAGGGACAAAUGUUAAAGGUAUGCUUAGUCUUAAAGCUUCAGCUUGAACGUUUUGAACUGCACUGAGCUGAAUCUUCACUUCUGUUGUGAUUCCCUGAAAAGCUUCAGGAACCCACCGACUGCUGACGGCUUAGUUUCAAUCCUUGGACUCAGGCUUGCUCUUCUUGUCAUUUGAAUACUUUCAGCAUUAGUUAUGCCCUUUCUACCAGCUAGGCGACACCUGUCCAAAUGACUUGACUAAAUCAAAAAGAUUCGACUAAACUAAAUGCAAAUUGUUUCAAGUUUGAGAUUAAUGUCAGAUAAGGAAACAGUGAAACUGUAAAUCACUGAAACUUUUAUUUCCAAUAAUAGCCCUACAGCUGAGUUGGUGCUAUACUUAUGGUUGCCGAACCUGUAUCAUCCAUAGCAUUGAUCAGCUCAAGAAAGUAAGCAGAGAAGGUGUGGUACUUGUGGAAUGUAGAAAAAUUUCUAUCAUGGUGAAGAACUCUGGCAUUUUUACACCUUCCUUAAAUCUUUGUAAAAGAAUGUAUGCCUAUUUUUCUAAAACACAAAAAAAACCCCAUGACCAUAGCAGUCAAAGAAGAAAUACAUGCUUGAAAAUUAGUGGAAGCUGCAAUCAGAUCAGCAAUAAUGUACAAGAGAAUUUAUGGUUUAAACUAGACACUGAACUUGCACAUGCAGAUUUUUUAGCUAACAUUGCCAUGCCUUAACCUUGACUCAGAGGAAGGUGAGAAAAACUUCUCUUGAUUUUUGAGGACAAGACUGUCGUGACUGUCUUGUAAUGUAGUUUUUUUGCUGUUUAUUGAAAUGUAAUUGAAUUCAUUUCAUGUGAACCAUCAGAGUCUAAACACUGUCAAGCAGUGAUGUGGAGGUGACAGCUUCUGCCUAUGUGUCAUGGAAUUCUUCAUUUCUACAGUGAUCCUGUUACUAGAAAUAAUAAAGGGACAAGCAAAGAAACCUCGAUUUUUAAAGUAUAUUUACUGUUACAUACCUUAUUGCAACAUCCCCAUACCACUGUUUGUAUCAGUAAAGACUUUUUGUUCUGGAUUUUAAGGCUCCUCCAAUGGUUCAAUGCCUUCAUUCCCUUCCAAACCACCCUCAGAGAAGAAUUUUUCAUAGAAUCAUAGAAUGGUUAGAGUUGGAAGAGACAUUAAAGAUCUAGUUCCAAGACCCAUGCCAUGGGCAGGGACACCUUCCACCAGACCAGGUUGCUCAAAGCCCCAUCCAGCCUGGUCUUCUUCAGUUAAAAAUUACUGUUGUCUACCAAUGUAUACUAGUGACACAAAUGUCAGUCCUCUUGACCUGCAAAGGGCCUCCCACUCCAGCACUCUACUGCUACCUCCUUCCCCCUGGGCCAAAGACCCUACACCUAAGAAGACCUUGCUGAAUACCUUGCUAGAUACCUUAUUUCCUACCAUACCUUCUCCUAGUUGCCACCCUUUUCCUCCAGAAAGGCUCCAGUAAAUCUCUUUUCCAGCUGCCAGUAUUGCCUGUAGCCCAUUCAGAAUAGGCUGCCUCCAACAGCUCCUAUAAACCUUUCCUAAGCACCGACGCACAGAAUGCUUAAGUGUGAGACAACAUGCUCCUGAGAAAGGGUUGAGUCCUUUGAUCCUCAUCUCUCUCUGUAGGGUUAAUAUAGGAAAUGUAAAGGGACCUUAUAGUUUUCACACUAAAGGCACUUUUAGGACUUUUUAAAAAAACCUACAGUGAGUGGAGUUAGCUUUCUAUAGGGUAUAUAUUUAAGGGAGAAAAAUGUUUUGUGUGGUAAACAGCUUGGAAUACCUAUGGCAGCAAUUUUAAAAUUGACGCUUGCAGGGAAGAAAUGUACCUAAUACAGUCAUGAAAAUAAAAGCUUUUAUGUGGUGGAAGUAGGCAAAUUUGUCAUACCUGCACAGGUGCUACUGAGGGUCCCAAAAGACAGUUAUAAGACUUGUGUUGGUGAAUUAACCCUGAAGAGACAUAACUCUGAAGUCUACUUGCUGCCUUGAAAUCUAACAGCAUUCUGUGUAGUUCUUGAGGGAAAAUAAGUACUCUCUCCUCCUUCCUGUCCCUAUUACUUUGCUGGUGUAGUUGAACACCAGCCUAACAAGAAGAGUGAUCCAUCGUUUUUGUUCUAGGAAUUUUACAGUACUGUUUGGUGAUUCUUCAAGAACUUUCUCCAAGAUAACUUCUAUAAAAUCACGAUAUAAGCAGAGACAACUCUGAGCAAGAGAAAUUCUUAAUUUCAUCUUCCCUUGCCAAAAAGCUUACAAGAUGCGGAGCAAAA